rnacentral:snoRNA from 1 species
UGGUCAUUACCAAGGCUUUUAGAAUACAGUUUCUUAUUUGCUGUGGACAUGACCAUAAAAUAAUUCCCUCUAGGGGUUUUGUAUCUGCUACUUUGCUAGCAUUCAACCUAUUGGGAACAUUC